GUGAUCUAGCCAUGGGCAGGUUGAAGGUUGGGUAACACUAACUGGAGGACCGAACCGACUAAUGUUGAAAAAUUAGCGGAUGACCUGUGGCUGGGGGUGAAAGGCCAAUCAAACCGGGAGAUAGCUGGUUCUCCCCGAAAGCUAUUUAGGUAGCGCCUCGUGAAUUCAUCUCCGGGGGUAGAGCACUGUUUCGGCUAGGGGGCCAUCCCGGCUUACCAACCCGAUGCAAACUGCGAAUACCGGAGAAUGUUAUCACGGGAGACACACGGCGGGUGCUAACGUCCGUCGUGAAGAGGGAAACAACCCAGACCGCCAGCUAAGGUCCCAAAGUCAUGGUUAAGUGGGAAACGAUGUGGGAAGGCCCAGACAGCCAGGAUGUUGGCUUAGAAGCAGCCAUCAUUUAAAGAAAGCGUAAUAGCUCACUGGUCGAGUCGGCCUGCGCGGAAGAUGUAACGGGGCUAAACCAUG
rnacentral:rRNA from 2 species